rnacentral:rRNA from 1 species
AACGAACGCUGGCGGCGUGCUUAACACAUGCAAGUCGAACGGAAAGGCCCUGCUUGUGUGGGGUGAUCGAGUGGCGAACGGGUGAGUAACACGUGAGUAACCUGCCCUAGACUUUGGGGUAACUUCAGGAAAGGGGGGCUAAUACCGGAUAGGAGAUCCUGCUGGAUGGUGGGGGGUGGAAAGUCUCGGCGGUUGGGGAUGGACGAGCGGAUUAUCGGCUUGUUGGUUGGGGAGUGGGUUACCAAGGCAUUGACGGGUAGCCGGCCGGGGAGGGUGGCCGGCCACCUGGGUCCUGAGAGACGGCCCAGACGCCUACGGUGGGCAGCAGUGGGGAACCUGGUCCAACGGGCCCAAGCCUGAUGCAGCAACGCCCCGUUUGUAAUGACGUCCUUCUGGGUGUAAACCGCUUCCGCCUGUGACGAAGCGUGAGUGACGGUAAUGGAUAAAUAAGCACCGGCUAACUACGUG